rnacentral:rRNA from 1 species
AGAGUUUGAUCAUGGCUACAGAACGACGCUGGCGGCAUGCCUAACACAUGCAAGUCGAACGAAGCCUUCGGGCUUAGUGGCGCACGGGUGCGUAACGCGUGGGAAUCUGCCCUUGGGUUCGGAAUAACAGUUAGAAAUGACUGCUAAUACCGAAUGAUGUCUUCGGACCAAAGAUUUAUCGCCCAAGGAUGAGCCCGCGUCGGAUUAGCUAGUUGGUGAGGUAAAGGCUCACCAAGGCGACGAUCCGUAGCUGGUCUGAGAGGAUGAUCAGCCACACUGGGGACUGAGACACGGCCCAGACUCCUACGGGAGGCAGCAGUGGGGAAUAUUGGACAAUGGGCGCAAGCCUGAUCCAGCCAUGCCGCGUGAGUGAUGAAGGCCUUAGGGUUGUAAAGCUCUUUCAGUGGGGACGAUAAUGACGGUACCCACAGAAGAAGCCCCGGCUAACUUCGUG